rnacentral:tRNA from 1 species
ACUAUUUUGACAGAUUAGUGUAAUAAAUUUAGAAUUUAUAAAUAUAUUUAAUAUUUAAAUAUAAAUAGUA